AUACGGUCACAUCAUGUUGAAAAAACCAGUUCCCGUACGAUCACCGAAGUUAAGCAAGGUCGAGCCUGGUCAGUACCUGGAUUGGUGACUGCUAGAGAAUACCAGGUGCUGUAAG